rnacentral:lncRNA from 1 species
AUGCUGGUGGAGGUGGAUCCUUCAACGCCUUGUGAUGUUGUGGUGACGCUCCCAAAGCUGGCUGUGUGCAGGAGAGGAAUGGUGGGCAGGCACGUUCAGAGCAGCAGCAUCUUCCCCUGGAAGCCAUGGCUCCAAGAGAGGUCAGCCCUCUGCCAUCAUGCUUGUGGUAGCAGGAAGCCCCGAGUUAAAAAAUGCUUCAGUUCUAAUACUCUGCUUCACUGUUUUCUGCAUUUGCAAGAGAAGACAAAACCUGAAGAAGCUCUGCUGUUGGGUCCGUAUCUGAGGUGUGCUUUCUCACUGCAAAGGGGAACUGCUGUAAGAAGCUUGAGCAAAAGGUGUUCCCUCGACACUGCUACUGACUCCUUGAAAAGGAAAUAGGAAGAGACCAAAGAGUCAGGUAACAGCAGAGGCUGCACUGCAGCUCCUGAAAGACACAGAGAGAAGGGGAUGUGUGCCCCAUUACACCAAAUGACUGCCCGAAACAGCAGCCUCGGAGGAAAACCACAGCUGCAAAGGAGCUGCCAAAGAAAGGAUGGAAAAAGGUAGGAGACAAAUACAACCCUGACUGUGCCACCAUCCAGACUUGGCAGGCAGCAAGGAAUAUGUCACAGCCAUUCAAAGAGUACGAUGUGUCCUCUGGGGAGUGGAGUAACACUGAUGCUUCAAACCUCCAAUGCCUGGUAUCAUCCAGGGACAAAUGGUGCCACCACUGCAACCACUCAGGACAUUUGGGGAGCAGAUGAAUGCCUGACACUUGUCAAGCUGGCAUGGAGUUCAAGGAUGGCCAGCAAUUAGCAUGCACACAGGCUCCUUCCUCCAGACAUCCACCAUGGCAAAUUGAGUGCAGGUCCACCAAGGCUUUAGCAAAGGGUUUAUUUUGUUCUCAAAGGGCAUUUUUAUUAGCUUUCUGCUAGAAGUAUUGCGCUGAUUAGAGAAAUAUUUUUAGGUCUAAUGGUUUGUGAGAAAUUAAAGAACAAAAAGGAAAAGGUGGCUUUUGAAAACCAACCUGGCUUGCACUACCAAAUAGCUCAUGUAAUGGGUGAUUAAAUAAACCCCAAAAAAACAACA